AGCCCUCUGUAUCCGUGCUGAGAUUUCGUCGGAGAUCAACCUGUUGGGGUUGAUGCAACUUCCCAAAUAAGUGAAGCG
rnacentral:pre_miRNA from 1 species